GAAAUGCGAUAAGUAAUGUGAAUUGCAGAAUUCAGUGAAUCAUCGAAUCUUUGAACGCACAUUGCGCCCGCCAGCACUCUGGCGGGCAUGCCUGUUCGAGCGUCAUUUCAACCCUCAGAACCCCUUGCGGGAUCUGGCGUUGGGGAUUGGCAUCCAGCCAGCCCCGAAAUCUAGUGGCGGUCCCUCCGCGACCUCCCCUGUGCAGUAGCGAUACCUCGCAGCGGGACAGCGGUCUGACCACGCCGUAAAACCCCCAACUUCUCAAGGUUGACCUCGAAUCAGGCAGGAAUACCCGCUGAACAUAAGC
rnacentral:misc_RNA from 1 species